rnacentral:rRNA from 1 species
GUGGGGAAUAUUGCACAAUGGGCGCAAGCCUGAUGCAGCCAUGCCGCGUGUAUGAAGAAGGCCUUCGGGUUGUAAAGUACUUUCAGCGGGGAGGAAGGUGUUGAGGUUAAUAACCUCAGCAAUUGACGUUACCCGCAGAAGAAGCACCGGCUAACUCCGUGCCAGCAGCCGCGGUAAUACGGAGGGUGCAAGCGUUAAUCGGAAUUACUGGGCGUAAAGCGCACGCAGGCGGUCUGUCAAGUCGGAUGUGAAAUCCCCGGGCUCAACCUGGGAACUGCAUUCGAAACUGGCAGGCUAGAGUCUUGUAGAGGGGGGUAGAAUUCCAGGUGUAGCGGUGAAAUGCGUAGAGAUCUGGAGGAAUACCGGUGGCGAAGGCGGCCCCCUGGACAAAGACUGACGCUCAGGUGCGAAAGCGUGGGGAGCAAACAGG